rnacentral:rRNA from 1 species
ACUCCUACGGGAGGCAGCAGUGGGGAAUAUUGCACAAUGGGCGCAAGCCUGAUGCAGCCAUGCCGCGUGUGUGAAGAAGGCCUUCGGGUUGUAAAGCACUUUCAGUCGUGAGGAAGGUAGUGUAGUUAAUAGCUGCAUUAUUUGACGUUAGCGACAGAAGAAGCACCGGCUAACUCCGUGCCAGCAGCCGCGGUAAUACGGAGGAUCCAAGCGUUAUCCGGAAUCAUUGGGUUUAAAAGGGUCCGUAGGUGGAUGAUUAAGUCAGAGGUGAAAUCCUGCAGCUCAACUGUAGAAUUGCCUUUGAUACUGGUUGUCUUGAAUUAUUGUGAAGUAGUUAGAAUAUGUGGUGUAGCGGUGAAAUGCAUAGAUAUCACAUAGAAUACCGAUUGCGAAGGCAGAUUACUAACAAUACAUUGACACUGAUGGACGAAAGCGUGGGGAGCGAACAGGAUUAGAUACCCUGGUAGCGACUG